rnacentral:rRNA from 1 species
GAUGAACGCUGGCGGCGUGCCUAAUACAUGCAAGUCGAGCGAACAGACGAGGAGCUUGCUCCUCUGACGUUAGCGGCGGACGGGUGAGUAACACGUGGAUAACCUACCUAUAAGACUGGGAUAACUUCGGGAAACCGGAUCUAAUACCGGAUAAUAUAUUGAACCGCAUGGUUCAAUAGUGAAAGACGGUUUUGCUGUCACUUAUAGAUGGUUCCGCGCCGCAUUAGCUAGUUGGUAAGGUAACGGCUUACCAAGGCAACGAUGCGUAGCCGACCUGAGAGGGUGAUAGGCCACACUGGAACUGAGACACGGUCCAGACUCCUAAGGGAGGCAGCAGUAGGGAAUCUUCCGCAAUGGGCGAAAGCCUGACGGAGCAACGCCGCGUGAGUGAUGAAGGUCUUCGGAUCGUAAAACUCUGUUAUUAGGGAAGAACAAAUGUGUAAGUAACUAUGCACGUCUUGACGGUACCUAAUCAGAAAGCCACGGCUAACUACGUG